rnacentral:misc_RNA from 1 species
CAGGAUAAUUGACACUAAAAUGCAGGAACCACCUGGCACCUUUGUAUCAGUUGAGGUGCCCAAGUGUACAGAAGCUGCUAGGUUCGAUGUUGCUUCUGCUGGGGAUGCAGCCAGAUGCAGGAUAAUUGACACUGAAAUGCAGGAACCACCUGGGACAUCUAUAUCAGUUGAGGUGCCUAAAUGUGCUGAAACUCCUGGGUUGGAGGCACAAGAGAAAUUUGAACAUCACGUUUCUCAGUUGGGACCGUCAAGUAAUAGCCAAACAAUUGCAGUAUCUACAGGAAAUGUUCGUGAAACAAUGGCUAACCUGUCCUUAAUUUCUUCUUCAUGUUCUGGUCCUGAACUUGCAAUCUCAACUGUUUCUACAUGUGAG